CUCAAAUUUAAAAAGUAAUUGAAGAGGAGCUAGUAACUUGAUAAAGAGGAGAGAUAAGCUACUCACAGAAGAUGAAUCGAAGAAAAUGAGAGGCAAAGCUGAAAAGGAAGGUUACUAUGGCAACCAGAGAACUCACCUUUCCCCCACAGUGACAGUUAAGGUCAGAAGGAGCCCGGGGUCCCAGUUGGUGCCAUCGGAAUUGAAGAAAUCAGGACUCCAUCCAGGACACCAUGUUGCAUUCACUCAUCAUGUCUCCUCAAAUCUGUAACAGUUUUGCAGUCUUUCUUUAUUUUCCAUGACCUUGACAGUCUUGAGGAGUCCUAGCAUGAAAUAUAGAGUGAUGGAUCAAGCACCACUGCUCCAGAUCUGGGAAGCACGACCGUGACAGCAUCUGAGAGACAGCAGAGAUGUAUCUAUAAGAAAAUCAAGGAAUCUGCUCUUCCCAGCCUCGCGUUCUCUUGAAUUCAUUUUUGUUCACAAACCUUGAAUAUAAACUUAUGUUUGAUUAUCGUUCACAUGUUUUGUGUGUGACAAUUUUUCUGAACUUGAGCAAAAAGUAAAAACCAACCACAACGGUUCACAUUCCCUAUUAUUAUUUUUUUGUUUUUCCAGCUGAUCAAGAGGCAGAAGAAAAGUGAGAAAGACAUUGAGGACAAACAUUUAGUUAACACACCCACACAAACCCAGCAUUGGAGGGAACAUCCUUCACUUGGGGUGACAAGUGGUGAUGACUUGUCACAGUUGUCUCAGUCUGAAGGAGACCAGGCAGGUGUAUCAUCACACAGCUUCUGCGGUGGAUGCACAGAGCCUCUAGAAGUGCUCCCAGUUCAGAGAGAGGAGCAGGGUGUGGAGAGAGCCCUCAGGCCCCCAGCCCCAGCACCGGCCUCAAGGAGAGGCGAUAAGAGGCCAGGAUGCGGUCAGGUGGGACUGCAGAAACAAAAAGUGGAACUUCUACCAGAAGCAGACUACAAUCAAGUGCUGAUCAUGAAGUUUAGAUCGACGAUGGACCCCAUAGACGACGGUGGUCCCAAAAGAAUGAAAAAUCCUUCCUCAUUGGAGGAACGUUUGAAAAUAGCGCUGACAACUCUCUGGAGAACUGGAAUCCCAUCCCCGUGGAAGGAGAAGAAGGUUUGCUCUGACAAUCCCACUCAAACGACGCAGCUCGAGUUUCUCCUCUCUCCUCAAGCUGCUGUUCCGGGGUGAGGUGGUGCCUGCAUCCAGGGUCAAGAAUGUAGCGCUCUGCUGUGAUUUACUGCUGAAUGUCACCCAGUCACAGAAUCCUACUCCAGAGUAGGAAGAGCCCAGCGUGCAGCACAGAGUGGUCCUCUCAGUCUGGACUUUGUGGUGUGGAAGAGCGGAGGAUCCCGUCUACAAGGUCUGGAGGAGUGGGGUGUCCCAGCACUUCUCAUCCUGGUCACCAGACACUGCAGAGGAGGAAAAAUAAUUUUCUCUCCACUCUUUAUGAUGCUUUUCUUCAAAAACACAAAAUAUUGCAGAGACAGCCACAGUCACAGACCGACCCACAUCUCAUUCCCUCCCUCCUCUACUGAAGCUAUUCUGCGUCAUUCCCAUGCAAAGUUUUGAACUUUAGUGAUAAAUGCAUGUCUCUAUAUGCAAAAUAAAAUAUUAUUCUAUGUUUUGAAAAUUUAGAAGUAUUUAUUCUUAUUGUAUUUACCAUUCUUCAAUUUGCUUCUUCUGUCAAUAUUAGACUUCUUGAAACAUAAUACAUCUAGUUUAUUAAUAUUUACUAUUAUAUAGCAUUCCAUUUUAUGACCACUCCCGAAUUUACUUUCCUGUUAUUUAUUCAUGGACUUUUUAAGGUUAUUUCCGAGUUUCUGCAAGUAUAAAUGUCUCUGUGGUAUAUUUUCUUGUAUGUAUGUGUGUGCAGUAACUUUGUUGGGCUUUAUGCCUAGGAGUGGAAUUGGCUGGGUUGUGGCAGGUUUACGUAUACAACUGAGCCAGAUAUUCUCAACUGCCCUUCAAAGAGGCUGCCCCAAUUCACAGCCCUGCUGGCAGUACAGCGUGAGUGUUGCU
rnacentral:lncRNA from 1 species